AUCCGCAACCAAAAAAGGAAUUUCUGUUCUUAGUCAACAAGAUUCUCCUUUGGACGACUAACUUUGGAGGUUACAAAGCAGAUAUGAGCAUUGAGUUAUUGAAGGUCAAUUAACAUGCUUACCGAAAAAAAAAAAAAGUUUUCUUGUCAUUAUAGAGAGAAUAGUAGAUUUAGUGACUAUUGGUCUUAAUCGGUAUGAUAUUUAUUAGUUUUGGUAUUUUUCUCAGCUCAACAGCAAUGGCUGCAUCACCCAACAAGUACAAGCAAACAUGCUCCAGAUUAAAAAUACAGGCUUUGAAAUGAAGCUCCGAGUGGAAGCCAGGAUCAGAGAAGAGGGAACAGAUGUGGUAGUCACUGCAAAUGGGAUCAGUGAAAUCACAAACGUUGCAUCCAAACUCAUAUUCGUGAAAGUGGAUUCACACUUUAGACGAGGAAUCCCCUUUUUUGGACAGGUGCUUCUGGUGGAUGGGAAAGGUGUGCCCAUCCCCAAUAAACUCAUCUUCAUCUCUGCGAAUGAAGCCAAUUAUCACUUUAAUACAACCACCAAUGAACAGGGUCUUGUACAGUUUC
rnacentral:lncRNA from 1 species